rnacentral:tRNA from 1 species
GUUAAUGUAGCUUAAUAAAAAGCAAAGCACUGAAAAUGCUUACAUGGAUAAUUUUAUCCCAUAAACA